rnacentral:rRNA from 1 species
UUUAUGGAGAGUUUGAUCCUGGCUCAGGAUAAACGCUGGCGGCGUGCCUAAUACAUGCAAGUCGAGCGAACGGACGAGAAGCUUGCUUCUCUGAUGUUAGCGGCGGACGGGUGAGUAACACGUGGAUAACCUACCUAUAAGACUGGGAUAACUUCGGGAAACCGGAGCUAAUACCGGAUAAUAUUUUGAACCGCAUGGUUCAAAAGUGAAAGACGGUCUUGCUGUCACUUAUAGAUGGAUCCGCGCUGCAUUAGCUAGUUGGUAAGGUAACGGCUUACC